rnacentral:rRNA from 1 species
GAUGAACGCUGGCGGCGUGCCUAAUACAUGCAAGUCGAGCGAAGCGGGGACGGGUGAGUAACACGUGGAUAAACUCCUAUAAGACUGGGAUAACUUAGGGAAACCGGAGCCAAACCGGAUAAUUAUAGCUGGAGCGGCGCGGCAUUAGCUAGUUGGAAGGGUAACGGCUUACCUAGGCAACGAUGCAUAGCCGACCUGAGAGGGUGACCAGCCACACUGGAACUGAGACACGGUCCAGACUCCUACGGGAGGCAGCAGUAGGGAAUCUUCCGCAAUGGGCGAAAGCCUGACGCAGCAACGCCGCGUGAGUGAUGAAGGUCUUCGGAUCGUAAAACUCUGUUAGUAGGGAAGCGGUACUUAAUCAGAAAGCCACGGCUAACUCCGUGCCAGCAGCCGCGGUAAUUC